GGAAGCCCGGAUACCCUAAGUUCCCCGGCGAACGGGAGCGCGUGGAGACUUCGCCAGGGAAUAGUGACUGAAGGAAACGGAAGCAAACUGUGGCAGAAAAUACAGAUGAAGCUUUUUAGGUUAAAUCGUGGCAGUAGUUUUUCUGAAAACGCGGCGCAUUUUGAUAGCUGGACUUUAGGUCAUCCCCAGGCUUCCUAGCCUUUCCCGCGUCCUCAGGGGUUCUGGUUCUAACCCUGGAGACCAACACCACAUGCGUGUAGAUGGUGACCAGCAGGAGCAGGGAGUCUCAGACCCAGUGCAGUCAGACAGGCUCCCAUUCCCAGUAGCGAAAGGGUCCCGCAGACCCAAAGCCUAAGGAGCCAACAAGCAGUUCGUCCAUGGAGCCUGGCCUGGAUCUCCCACUGUCUUCCUCUCCAGCAUUCAGCCAGAUGUUUGCUACUGUGUUGUCUUAGUCCUGGCCCACCUUAUCCUUUCCUUUAAGAAAUAAAAAUCUCAACUGGGUGCGGUGGCUCACGCCUGUAAUCCCAACACUUUGGGAGGCCAAGGCGGGCGGAUCACCUGAGGUUGGGAGUUCGAGACCAGCCUGACACAUGGAGAAACCCCGUCUCUACUAAAAAUGCAAAAAAAAUUAGCCAGGUGUGGUGGUGCAUGCCUGUAAUCCCAUCUACUGCAGAGGCUGAGGCAGAAUAAUCGCUUGAACCCAGGAGGAGGAGGUUGCAGUGAGCGGAGAUCACACCAUUGCACUCCAGCCUGGGCAACAAGAGCGAAACUCUGUCUCAAGAAAAAAGAAAAAUCCCUUUUUGUUACACCUUUCCUGAACUUCAGAUCCUGUGGCAUGCUGACACUGAAUUCCGGGGGCCUGCUCAGCCACCUUCUGAACUAACAACGCUUAUGAAUUCGUGAUCGUUUAAGCCUGGGAGAUAUUCAAUUUUUGCAAAGGCGGUUUCAAUUCAGUCCUGAGAAAGCGACCAGCACGGAUCCCACGAAAGCAGCAGGAGGAUGUGGGUCCCCAAUGGAGUGGAGGCCUGGAAAGAGGGGACAUGGGUGACGAGUCUUCGAUACUGGAAGGGCAGCCUACCUGAGAGGAGCUGUUGAGGCCCCAGCCAUGCCGCCCACAGUCGAGGGUGCCCUGCAGGCCUCUGGCCCCCAGGAAGGCAGGGCAGGAGUCCUGCAUCCUUGCCCAGCAUGGCGGCCAGAAAGUGUCGGGCUUCUACUGAUGCUGCCUCAAUCACAAAAACCAUGAGCUCCAUGGAGUUCGUAAGGAGACAGUUCUCCUCACCACUUCCUGGAAACCAGGAGACAGGGAAUAGCCCCAAGCCAGCCAGGUCUUGCCAGCAUGAUGAGGAAGUCCCCUCUGCUGGAACCUUCCAAGGAAAACCUCUUGGAAAUGACCAAUCUGCUUUUUGUUCUGUGUCUGCCUCCUCAGCCCCUUUCUGUUUACAGAACCAACCUCCUCUACCCAGCACGCAGGAGCCCUCGUUCUGUUUUAUAGAAUGGGGUGUUUCCCAGUUCUAGAAUUGCAAAUAAAGCCAAGUUUGUGGUAAUUUUGUCUCUAUCAAAUUGAAAACAAGGAAACUUUCAUUCUUUUUAAUCUGGUACUUUUC
rnacentral:lncRNA from 10 species